UAAAGAGGAAGAAGAGAAUAAGAGAAGGUGUAAGGUGCUGGUGCAUUUGCAGCUGAAUGCCAUCUUGGAAACCCCAUAAUCUCCCCUUUCUUCUACGCCUCUUUUCACUCAUAAACUCAACACCGUCACCAUCACCGUCCCCGCCCCGACUCACCAACGGCGUUCUAAAUGGUUGUCUUGGCUGGAGGUACGGCGGAGAAAUGAGUGUUAUCAGACAUCAUGGUAGAUAGAGAAGUGUGGUCGGUAGAAUCUAGAAUCUUCCUUUGCCCUAGCAAACUUUUGAUGGUACUCUCUGAGCGUGCAGUAGCCAAUGAGCCAGACCUAGGAGGUACGUAUACGAGCUUGCCUGGUAAGUUCCUCUGGGCUAUGUGUGAAGAAGUGCUAUACAUCCAACCUUGCCCAAACGAAAAAGCUAAGCUCAAGACCAUGCCUUGAUACUUUUAUGAAAUGAUAGUCAUGAUUACGUAUGUAUGCAUUUUUUUGACUAAAAGAGUGAAGUUACUUACAGAGUAUUCAAGACAAAAGUUGUAGCCCUUAUGUUAGAUCAUAUCGUUUUCAUUACUUUGAAUCUAUUGUUUCAUUUCCGUA